rnacentral:rRNA from 1 species
GACGAACGCUGGCGGCGUGCUUAACACAUGCAAGUCGAACGGAAAGGCCCUGCUUUUGUGGGGUGCUCGAGUGGCGAACGGGUGAGUAACACGUGAGUAACCUGCCCUUGACUUUGGGAUAACUUCAGGAAACUGGGGCUAAUACCGGAUAGGAGCUCCUGCUGCAUGGUGGGGGUUGGAAAGUUUCGGCGGUUGGGGAUGGACUCGCGGCUUAUCAGCUUGUUGGUGGGGUAGUGGCUUACCAAGGCUUUGACGGGUAGCCGGCCUGAGAGGGUGACCGGCCACAUUGGGACUGAGAUACGGCCCAGACUCGUACGGGAGGCAGCAGUGGGGAAUAUUGCACAAUGGGCGGAAGCCUGAUGCAGCAACGCCGCGUACGGGAUGACGGCCUUCGGGUUGUAAACCGCUUUCGCCUGUGACGAAGCGUGAGUGACGGUAAUGGGUAAAGAAGCACCGGCUAACUACGUG